rnacentral:rRNA from 1 species
GACGAACCGAGCGAACGUUGUUCGGAAUCACUGGGCUUAAAGGGCGCGUAGGCGGGUGCUCAAGUCCGUGGUGAAAUCCUCCGGCUCAACCGGAGAACUGCCUCGGAUACUGGGUGCCUCGAGGGUGGUAGGGGUAUGCGGAACUAUCGGUGGAGCGGUGAAAUGCGUUGAUAUCGAUAGGAACUCCGGUGGCGAAGGCGGCAUACUGGACCACCUCUGACGCUGAGGCGCGAAAGCCAGGGGAGCAAACGGGG